rnacentral:rRNA from 1 species
GUGCCAGCAGCCGCGGUAAUACGUAGGGCGCAAGCGUUGUCCGGAUUUAUUGGGCGUAAAGAGCUCGUAGGCGGUUUGUCGCGUCUUCCGUGAAAACUGGGGGCUUAACUUCCAGCUUGCGGUGGAUACGGGCUGACUGGAGUGCGGCAGGGGAGACUGGAAUUCCUGGUGUAGCGGUGAAAUGCGCAGAUAUCAGGAGGAACACCGGUGGCGAAGGCGGGUCUCUGGGCCGUUACUGACGCUGAGGAGCGAAAGCGUGGGGAGCGAACAGGAUUAGAUACCCUGGUAGUCC